CUGCUUGGUGUCCUUUGAAAUUCCUCCAUCUGUGGUUUGAUGUCUGACAUCAAAUAGGGUAAAUUUUUAGUGAUUAUUGUUUCAAAUAUUACUUCUGUUCCUUUCUCCCUUCUCCUCCUGGUAUUCCCAUUAUGCAUAUGUUAUACCUUUUUAUAGUUGUCCCACAGUUCAUUGAUAUUCUGGGGUAUUCUCAGUCUCUGUCUCUGUCUCUCUCUCUCUCUCUCAGGGAGCUUUGCUUUUUAGUUUUUAAAGUUUCUAUUGAGAUAUCCUCAAGAUAUUCUCAGUCAUUUCUCACCUACUAAGAAGCCUGCCAAAGGCAUUCUUCAUUUCUGUUACAGUGUUCUUGAUCUCUAACAUUUCUUUUUUAUUCUUUCUUAGAAUUUUCAUCACCCUGCUUACAUUGCCCCCUAAGUUCUUGCAGAUUGUUACUUUAUCUGUUAAAUCCCAUUACUAUUAAUCACAAUUGCUUUAAAUUUGUAGUCCUAUAAUUCCAACAUCCUUGCCUUAUUUGAGUCUGACUCUGAUGCUUGCUGUUUCUUUAAAAUGUGCCUUUUGUUUUGUUUCUUACCUUUUAUUAUGUGUUAUAAUCUUUUCCUGAUAUCCAGACAUGAAUAACUGGGUAAAAUAAAUGGAUAUAAAUAGGCCUUUAGUAAUGUGGUGGUAAGGUGUGGGGGAGGGGAGCAUUCUAUAGUCUUCUUCUUAUGUUUCAGUCUUUAGUGAGCCUUUGUGUCUGGACGGUGAACUUCACCUGCUUCUCAAUUUCCUUUCCUCCCCUUCUGUGGGACAGGAUGGCUAGAGCUGGAUGGAGCUGGUUAUUUCUCUUAGCUAGGGUCACUUAGACUUGGAUACAACUCCAGAAGGUUAGGCUUUGAUUAACUAGUUUCUUCUUGUUAAGAACUGAAUGCUCUGAGGUAUUUCUAAAUGGUUCAUUUUCCCCUCACCCUGCCAGAAGCAUGAGGUGUUUCUCUGAUAUUCACUGUGAAGACCUGGCAGAGCUCUGUGAGGUUCCAGAUUCUGCAUUUUUACAUCCUGGAAAUGAUGUGGAGAAAACAUUAUUUGAAAUAUGUCUUGCACAUGGCACUCAGCGUGUUUGUCUAGGACAGCGUGUGGCAGCUCAAUCCUCCUGCAAUACCUCAAACUGCACAACUAAAUAG
rnacentral:lncRNA from 1 species